rnacentral:rRNA from 1 species
AUGGUCUUAGCUUGCUAAGGCUGAUGGCGACCGGCGCACGGGUGAGUAACACGUAUCCAACCUGCCGUCUACUCUUGGCCAGCCUUCUGAAAGGAAGAUUAAUCCAGGAUGGGAUCAUGAGUUCACAUGUCCGCAUGAUUAAAGGUAUUUUCCGGUAGACGAUGGGGAUGCGUUCCAUUAGAUAGUAGGCGGGGUAACGGCCCACCUAGUCAACGAUGGAUAGGGGUUCUGAGAGGAAGGUCCCCCACAUUGGAACUGAGACACGGUCCAAACUCCUACGGGAGGCAGCAGUGAGGAAUAUUGGUCAAUGGGCGAUGGCCUGAACCAGCCAAGUAGCGUGAAGGAUGACUGCCCUAUGGGUUGUAAACUUCUUUUAUAAAGGAAUAAAGUCGGGUAUGCAUACCCGUUUGCAUGUACUUUAUGAAUAAGGAUCGGCUAACUCCGUGCCAGCAGCCGCGGUAAUACGGAGGAUCCGAGCGUUAUCCGGAUUUAUUGGGUUUAAAGGGAGCGUAGAUGGAUGUUUAAGUCAGUUGUGAAAGUUUGCGGCUCAACCGUAAAAUUGCAGUUGAUACUGGAUGUCUUGAGUGCAGUUGAGGCAGGCGGAAUUCGUGGUGUAGCGGUGAAAUGCUUAGAUAUCACGAAGAACUCCGAUUGCGAAGGCAGCCUGCUAAGCUGCA